ensembl:rRNA 5S_rRNA 5S ribosomal RNA
GUCAACAGACAUAUGACGCUGAACGUGCCCGAUCUAGUCUGACCUUGGAAGCUAGGCAGGGUGGGUUCAGUUAGUAUUUGGAUGGGAGAUAUCAAACAGAAACCACAAAAUUAUUUACA